rnacentral:rRNA from 1 species
UGGUUCAGGACAACAUUGGGAAACCGAUGCUAAUACUGGAUAAGCCCUUACGGGGAAAGUUUUAAUGCCACAAGAUGAGCCCGCAUUUGAUUAGUUAGUUGGUGAGGUAAUGGCUCACCAAGACAAUGAUCAAUAGCUGAUCUGAGAGGAUGAUCAGCCACACUGGGACUGAGACACGGCCCAGACUCCUACGGGAGGCAGCAGUGGGGAAUCUUGCACAAUGGAGGAAACUCUGAUGCAGCGAUGCCGCGUGAGUGAAGAAGGCCUUUGGGUUGUAAAGCUCUUUUGUAGGGGAAGAUAAUGACUGUAUCCUAAGAAUAAGGUCCGGCUAACUUCGUGCC